GUAGGGAAUAUUAGAAAUGGACGAAAGUCUGAUCUAGCAACACCGCGUGUGCGAAGAAGGCCUUCGGGUCGUAAAGCACUUUUUGGAAGGAAUAGGAAGGAAUGUACUUCCAGAAUAAGUCUCGGCUAACUACGUGCCAGCAGCCGCGGUAACACGUAGGAGGCAAACGUUAUCCGGAUUUACUGGGCGUAAAGCGCGUGUAGGUGGUACUGUAAGUAGGGCGUGAAAGCUCCUGGCUCAACUGGGAGAGGCCGUUCUAAACUACAGAACUAGAGGAUGGUAGAGGGAGGUGGAAUUCCAGGUGUAGCGGUGGAAUGCGCAGAUAUCUGGAGGAACACCGGUGGCGAAGGCGGCCUCCUGGACCAUUCCUGACACUCAGACGCGAAAGCUAGGGUAGCAAACGGGAUUAGAAACCCUUGUAGUCC
rnacentral:rRNA from 1 species